AGCGAACGCUGGCGGCAGGCUUAACACAUGCAAGUCGAGCGGACCUUUCGGGGUCAGCGGCGGACGGGUGAGUAACGCGUGGGAACGCGCCUUCCGGUUCGGAAUAACCCUGGGAAACUAGGGCUAAUACCGGAUACGCCCUUAUGGGGAAAGGUUUACUGCCGGAAGAUCGGCCCGCGUCUGAUUAGCUAGUUGGUGGGGUAACGGCCUACCAAGGCGACGAUCAGUAGCUGGUCUGAGAGGAUGAUCAGCCACACUGGGACUGAGACACGGCCCAGACUCCUACGGGAGGCAGCAGUGGGGAAUAUUGGACAAUGGGCGCAAGCCUGAUCCAGCCAUGCCGCGUGAGUGAUGAAGGCCUUAGGGUUGUAAAGCUCUUUUAUCCGGGACGAUAAUGACGGUACCGGAGGAAUAAGCCCCGGCUAACUUCGUG
rnacentral:rRNA from 1 species